UGUUUUGUUGUGCAGUUGCCUUGGUUGCUGGUGUGAUGUUUGUUGUUAGGUGGUGUGGUGAGAUUCAUUCGUGACGUGCAGUCAUUCGCGGGGCAUUAGCACAGCUGAUUCAAGCACUGACCUACACUAUGGGUGGGCAGGUGUCUGUUCUGAUGAGAAUGCAUGCCCAAAAUAUGGAACAUCAGGCACAUAGCAUGACUACCUCACCAGCGGAAGAUGAAGUCACUGA